rnacentral:pre_miRNA from 1 species
UUCAAAUGACACUUCUUCUAACAUUGCUGCACUGUUGGCAACAUUGCUGCACUGCUUGCAACAGUGCAGAAAUGUUAGAAGAAGUGUCAUUUGGAA